ensembl:lncRNA FAM182B family with sequence similarity 182 member B
CAGUCUCCGAGGCUUGGCAAAGCAGGAGCCCUCCUUGGCAGUGCUUGGGUGUCGGGGCUCUGAGGCUCCGGCCUGACCUCUUCACGGGGUCGACGGGAUCGUCUCCGGAUGCCAGGAGUCCCAAAGGGCCGACCAGGAUGAGGAAACCCCAGGCGGAGUCCGGGGGAAGCAGCACGGCAUCCCAGCCUCAGGCCUGCCCGGACGGUGAUGGUUGGGGACCAAGAUGAACACACUGCAGCCGAGGACAAGAGCCCCAUAGGAGCUCUUUGUCCGACAGGAGAGCAGAGGUCCCACGUCAGAGAAGAUGCUUGUAUCUUUUCACGGCUCUUCUCUGAGAAAUGAAGCCACACCACGCUACGGUCUGCAAGAGGAAGCCGGGAAUGGGAGAUGGCAACAAUCCCUGUCACUGGAACGCUGGCCUCUCUGGAAAAGCCACGCUUUUGGAACCCCUCCCCUUAUGCCCAUGGAGGUGGCACGGUGCUAUACGCUGCCUGGGCUCCGGCCUCUGCUCUCUCCUCCCUCUCGCUCUGCCUCCCCUGUUUCUCAGGGGCCUGGAUGCCUCUCGCUCUCGCCAAAUGUCUUCAGCAAAGAUGACUUCCCAGUCC